UACAGUACAACGUCCAGAAAUCAAGGGAUGUCAUCCUUGCCAACCUCUUCCAGAAUCCUGGAAUCCUUGAAUACGACAUCCUGGCCAUCCAGGAGCCCUGGUGAAACCCCUUCAUUGAAACAUCAUACCACCCUCUCAAGGCAUACUUCCAGCUAAUGUAUCUGGCCAAUGCUGCAACAAGAGUGUGCCUGUAUAUCAACAAGAAAAUCAACCCAAGUACUUGAAGUGUCUCUUUCAUUUCCAAGGACAUCAUCUCUCUACAGAUCAUCAGCCCUUAGUUGGGCAAUAAGAUCUCAGUUUUCAACAUCUAUAACAAACCAGAAAGAAAUACAUUUCUUGCACUAGAAGAGAUGAUUGAAGCAUUGAACUCACAACAGAAGAUCAUUGUGCUUGAGGAUUUCAACCUGCACCACCCACUCUGAUCAACAACACAUCAGUGAGCAAAUGUCAGACUCAAUAUACAAGAACUUCUCACAGUUAUUGAGAAGUUCCAGCUGCAACUCCUUAUAAAACCCAGAACUCCAACCCACCACUGAAGCAGUGAAGUAUCCACAAUUGAUCUAAUAUUCACUUCAGAGAAUCUGGCAAGCCAACUGAUUCAGUGCAAGAUUGACAAGAAGAUAGACUGCAACUCAGAUCAUCUGUUGAUUGAUAUAGUAUUCAACUGAAACUGGCAAUCAAUAAACUCAAUAAAGAAACAUCUAUGAACAAAAAUGAAUUUAGAGAUAUUGCAGAAAAUCAUUCAAACAAGUCUAUUCUGAUCAAACAUCAUUUCAGAACUUAAGAAUAAGAACUG
rnacentral:sRNA from 1 species